UGAUUGACCGAUCCAGUGGACUAGUGGUUAGAGCGUCCGCAUUGAAUGCGGAUGGUCGCGGGUUCGAACACCGGUCUAGUCAU